rnacentral:RNase_P_RNA from 1 species
CCAGUUGGCCAGGCGGUCGCGGUUGGUUAUGCCGGAAAUGGUGUCAACCAAACGAGGAACGUCCGGGCUCCACAGGGCAGAACGGUGGGUAACACCCACCCAGGGUGACCUGCGGGAUAGUGCCACAGAAAACAAACCGCCGCACUUUGUUUCAAAUGUGCGGUAAGGGUGAAACGGUGGUGUAAGAGACCACCAGCGUUCAAGGUGACUUGAACGGCUUGGUAAACCCCGUUCGGAGCAAGGCCAAGCAGCAGGCGUUUGAGGGCGGCCCGCCCGAGCCUGCGGGUAGGCUGCUUGAGGCGCGCGGUAACGCGCGUUCUAGAUGGAUGGCCGCCGCCGGUUGCCCACCGAUCAGUUGUCGGUUGAGCAGCCUGGCACAGAACCCGGCGUAUCGGCCAACUGGUCCC